UUUGGGAGAAAACACUCAGUUGUCCUGCCCUGGCACCAGGCAGCUUCACUCCAGGCUCCACUGAAUGGUGUCACAACAAAGUGAGAUUCACAGUCUGCGCUGGGGUGGUUUGCCCCAGGGAAGGUAAACAGCUGGGGAGGACAUUUCAGAGGGUGGCAGUGUCCUCCCAAAGGUUAGCCAGUGAUUGGGGAUAGAGUUUGGGAGUCAGCCUUUCACAAAGGCAUACUUCUCAGCAGGAAAUGUGGGUGGGGCGGAGCAGUCCUGGGAUAGAGACAAAGCUCCUUUGAAUCUUUAUCAGAAGGCCUGGCCUCUUGCAGGAGGGGUACCCGGGACGCCAGGGCAGAGAGAAAACUCCAGUGUGUAAUCUCAUUACUCUCCCUCGCUCUGUCAACCUAGAGUGCACAGUUGCUUACAGCCUACAGCUGCCAGAGCGCUGAGUGUCCCUCCAGCUCAUGAGGUCACCUCCUGCAGUGUCAUAACCCAUACUGGAGAGUUGUUGGUAGCCCAGGAGUAGUUGGGACAGCCCAGACCAGAUCUGGCCAACAGUCUCACCUUCCCAGGCUGGCUGCUCCACCAAACUACAGCAGUCUUAGAAAACCUAAUGAGAGCCAGUUGUAGUGGCCGCUGGCAAACUUCCUCAGAGUCGUUGAUUGGUCAGUGGCCGAGAGCUGUAGCCAAUCAGCGCGGUGUUUGGGCCCGCAUUUCGGACCAAAGGUCCGAGUAGGCGUCUGGCGGGCACAGUGGCCUGCAGAGACUCAAGGUAUGGAGGGCAGAGCCAGGGAGGGGUGAGCAUGUCUUGGGACCGGACAGCCAGGCGUCUGGCACCGCCAUCACCGCUAUCGCUGCUCCUGGUGCUGGUGCUGCUGUCACGAGCCGGGACUCUGCAUCCUGAAUAGCUCUUUCCUUACGGGGAGUCGUGGGGAGACCGGCUGCUGCAGGAGGGCGACGUUGAAAGCUCCGCGGCUGUGAAGCUAGCAGUACGUAGAAGUAGCUUCUAUGGUGUCCAGUUCAGCAACCUCUACGUGAGCACCAAUGGGAUCAUCUCCACCCAGGACUUACCCAGGGAGACUUAAUAUGUCGUUGAUGAUUUUCCUACUGACUUCCCAGCCAUCGCCCCAUUCCUGGCUGACAUCCACUCGAGUCACAGCAGUGGCCGGAUCCUGUAUGGAGGACACCUCCUGGGCUGUGCUGAGUCUGGCUGCUUGCUACCUGUGCACAGGCUUCCCCCCUACCCACUUCUUCCUGGCCACCUGGGAGCAAGUGGGCGCCUAGGAGGAGGACAGGCUUGGUUGGGGCUGAGUGGUCUGGAGAGCUAUAGGAUCUUACCAUCACAUUCUGAUGGGUAGCCCUGAGCAAUGAGAAUUGACAACUCUGGUAUCAUCUCUGUGACAUCCUCGACCAACAACUUGAGAGCAAGGUGUCCUACAUCUGGCUCUGGACUUUUUGAGAACUUGUAGCCAAUGGAAGGAGAAUUACCCACCUUGUAACGUUCGUUGGUGUCUGCAAUUCCUUUUUGUCCACAGCUGAACACUUUCCAGGCCGUUCUGGCAUCCGAUGAAUGUGAUUCCUAUGCCCUCUUUCUCUAUCCUGCCAAUGGUCUUCAGUUUUUGGAACUCACCCCAAAGAAUCCUACAGUGUCCAGCUGCAGCUUCCUGCUAAGGUGGGAUUCUGCCAAGGGGAAGCAGAUGACGUGAAGAGAAAAGCCCUGUAUUUCAGCCUGACUAACAGUGAGCAGUAAGUGAAGAAUCUCUACCAGUGAGUAAUGUGGAGUGUGUGACUGUGCUAUGCACUGGAAGGACAUUUAGGAGGGACACUAUCUCUAGUGGCCAGAAACCAUUUGAUAAUAACCUUUGGUGGCUUCUAAGAAAGGCGCUGGUUGAAAACCAAGAGCUAAGCUGGACCUCUGGAGCUUCAGGCUGCCCAAGAUUUAAAAGAUUCUUUCUUUUUCCUGCACUAUCUGUCAGGCAUAAACCAGAACCAGAAGUGAUUAUAUGUUUUUGCAGAACUACUGGGAUUUGCUGUGAAAAACAUUGUUCUUGGGGCUACAUAAAAAUAUCCAGUCAUAACUAACUGCCUCAGUGGACGCUUUUCAGGUUAAUGAUUUCUGGAGAGGAGGCAUCAUGAUUCAGUCUUUCAAACAGGUAUUGUUAAGGAUUAAAUUAUGAGUACUAUAAUGGGGGGGAGGUAGAUGAGGCUUUUAGUCGUCUCAGGUUUCUCCUGGCACCAUCACCAGAAAUCAUGCUGACUGGUUUACCCACAGCGUUUCCAGAGACAAAUCCAUUUCUUAGUCUCCCCAGUGGGUUAUUCUGCUAGUGCUGCAAUAGGCUAUUCUGCAGGUGUCUGUCCAGUUGGUGCUCCUAAGAGACUAUUGACUUCAGGUGGGCUCUUUUGUCUUUGUAUUUUGCAAUACUAGCUUAGCCCACAGUAGUUACUUUGUGGCUUCCCAUAGUUGCUUCUCAUUCAAACUAGAUCGUGGGCAGAUAGAGUGACAGAGCAAAAAUUUGCCGAUCACUUUAUCUGCAGAGCAUUGUGAUAAAACCCUUGCAGAUAUUAUCUUAAUUAAACCUCUCUCAACUUAUAGGUGGUAAGUAUAACUAUCUUCUCAGAUUUACCAAUAGUCUUACCGAAAUUACGAAAGGUGCUUAUGUCAGAGUUAAAUGGCCGAGCCAUAGUCAAUACAGCUCUGAAGUAUGGAUACAGGGGUGAUCUCUUAUGCAGAGUAGAUAGGGUGUUUCUUACUUGGAUUUCAUGUUACCUGGUUGUUUGUAUUUUGGUUCAUUUUAUCAGUCACUCUGGUUACAGCUCACUCUGCCCCUCUCCUGCAAUUUUGAUAUUUCUGGAAAGCAUCAAAGGAAAUAGUGAAGAACCGGAGUGAAUGGAUGACAGUGUUUGUGUGCGUGUGCGUGUGCGUGUGCAUGUGUGUGUGUGUGUGUGUGCACUCGCACGUACGUGUGCAUGGAUGUGUAUGCAUGUGUGUGUGAGCACGUGUAUGAAGGCCUUUAUGGCUCUAGACAACUGUCUCCUCACAUGCUUUUGCACACACACACAGGCACAGACACACGCACACGCACAGCAGCUUCUUAUGGCUAUGCAGGUACCAAUUCUCAUUCUAAUACUCUGUGAUUCUUGGUCCUUCCCAGAUUCUGUUGGUGUCCAGGGGCUCUGCCUUUAAAAAUCAUAGUAUUUCAAGCACUCAGCCUUAUUUCCAAGGUUCUACAUACAAGUGUCCCCUCCUGUUCUGUGAUCCGUACCGUGUGUAGGUCUCCAUCUCACCCUAGUCUGUGUAGUCUAGACUCUAGAACAGACUUAGCAGUUGGCCUCUAUCCUUUCUCCUCUAACCUCUUAUCCUCUAGCUUAAAGACUCUCUCUCCCCAGGUUGUACCUAGAGCCCCUUGGAAGGAGGGCUGAGUGCUUGAAAUACUACAAUUUUUAAGACACAGGCAUGUGCCAGAAAGGAGCAGCGUGAGACAUGACCAGAGUGAUUGACAAAUUUGGUGUGCCUCACGCUUAAUAAAAUGAGACAAACUACAGACAAUGGAAUAACAUAAAAUGCAAGGCAGAAUUAUCCUACCACUACUCUGAGUGACAACUCUGCUACCUCCCCUUUCAGCGUGGGCUUUGCCUCCCAUUCAGUGUUUGCAUACUUAACACUGUCUCCUAGGCUUCUUUCCUCCAGAUUCUGUCAGUAUCGUUGUCUUGAGGGUUGAAACAUUGCAUCACACAUGCCCAGCAUUGAGGACAACAUUUGUAAACUAAAGUAGCUCAGGAUCAUGGUCCUAGCUCCCUCUGGAUGCUUUGCUGUACCCCUCCAAGGAGAAGAACAUUUUCCUAGUCCUGGAAUCUCUUCCUCCAACAGAGGUCAUAUAUUAUUCAUGUUUGCAGGCCUCUUCUGAAACAUAUGCAUAUUCAGGUAGGGAAGAGAGUAGUUCCUGGGAAGGGAUUAGUCCCAGGCAGGCCAGCAUGGCUGUUCUGUUUUGUGAUACAGUUUUCCUUUUAGGAGACAAAUUCUAUCUGUGAGCAUGCAUAAACGACCUCAGUGUGGAGGGUAAAUUAGCUGUUUAGAUUCCCACCAGGCACUGUGGCAAACGCCAGGAUAUUGAUUUAUGUCUCAUUAGAAGGCAUUUAUUUAGCUCCACUCUUGCAUGAUUUGUAUUUUCCUUCUCUUUGAAGCUUUGAAGCUGUCCACUUCCAAACUCAAGAGGUUUCCCAGCUGCAAUACCCUGCUGUGGGAUGGGCUGGGGCUCCAGGGUGUCUUCUUACUGAUUGGUUUCAGUUUUUAUAAUUACAUUACUGUGUGGGAGUUGGGGUUGGACGCAGCUGUUGGGGAGGUGUCUGGGUCGGAAUCCAGUUUGUCAGAGUUUGUGCUCUCCCCCUAUCACGUGGAUUCUGGGUUUGCUCUAAGGUCUUGUAGGUAAGUGGCUUUCCCUGCUAAGUCAUUUUUUCAGCCUGGAGUUUUGUCUUCUGUGGUGUGUUUUAUUUGCAACCCUAAUUUCUAUAAGCACCAACUGAAGGCAAGAGUUGAAGCUCUGCUGGUAGAACAUUGCCUAGGGGACACAAAGCCCAGAGUUUUGACCUUGGUGCCACACAAACAGGGUUUAGUAUCACACCUGGUAUCCCAGUGUUUGGGAGGUGCAGGCAGGAGGAAUAGAAGCUCAAGGUUAUCAUCAGCUACAUGAGACUGUGUCUCAAAAAAUGAAAAGAAACCUUAGCAAUUGAAUAUAGCAAAUCACAGAAGGGACGAACACUGACCUGAUUGGGGAGGAGAGGGUUUAUUUGGUUUACUGUCCUGGGUCACACAGUGCAUUAGGGGAGCCAAGGCAGGAACUAAAGCAAGACAGGAACCUAGGAGGAGGUAGGAACUGGAGCAGAAGCCAUGGAGGAACAUUAAUAUUGGCUUGGUUCCUCUGUCUUACUCAGCCUGAUUUCUUACACAACCAGAGAUGGUACCCUAGGGUGGUAUCACCCAUAGUGAACUGCUCUUCCUCCUACCAAUCAUUAACCAAGAAAGCGCCCCUCCCCCAGACUUGCCUAUAUGCAUGUGUGAUUGAGGCAAUCUCUUCUCAGGUCUGCCUCAGGGUGACGAAAUCCAGCCAGUACAGCAGAGUAUGGUGAAUACAUUUGGGUACAGGUAGUGGCUCGUGGACAGUGCACAGAAUGAGAGAGAGAUAGAGAACUGAGGAAAACCUCAACUCUCUUCAUUAUUGCAGUAGAAACCUAGACUAGAAUGAUGAAUACUUGCCCCAGUGAACAAAGAUCUCGUUAUAUGAUUCACUGGAUCUUAAUACCUCUUUUUAGCCAUUCCCUCUUAUUCUUGAUUGUUGACUUUUGAGGAAAUUACAUUGUCUGGGAUAAUUUGAGGUUUGGUAUUUCGUGCAAACACAGGAUUGAUAUCAUUGGCUAGGUCCCAUUUUCCAGAGUCAUUUUUUUUUCUCCAUCUUUAUUAAAUUGGGUAUUUUUUAUUUACAUUUCAAUUGUUAUUACCUUUCCUGGUUUCCAGGCCAACAUCCCCCUAACACCUUUCCCCUCCCACUCUAUAUGGGUGUUCCCCUCCCCACCCUCCCCCCAUUACCGCCCUCCCCCCAACAAUCACGUUCACUGGAGGUUCAGUCUUGGCAGGAUGAAGGGCUUCCCCUUCCACUGGUGCCCUUACUAGGCUAUUCAUUGUUACCUAUGCAGUUGGAGCCCAGGGUCAGUCUUUGGGUAGUGACUUAGUCACCUGAAGCUCUGGUUGGUUGGCAUUGUUGUUCAUAUGGGGUCUCAGGCCCCUUCAAGCUCUUUCAGUCUUUUUUCUGAUUCCUUCAAUGGGGUGGUCCCAUUCUCGGUUCAGUGGUUUGCUGCUGGCAUUCACCUAUGCAUUUGCCAUAUUCUGGCUGUGUCUCUCAGGAGAGAUCUACAUCCAGUUCCUGUCAGCCUGCACUUCUUUGUUUCAUCCAUCUUAUCUAGUUUGGUGGGUGUAUAUAUAUGGGCCACAUGUGGGGCAGGCUCUGAAUGGGCAUUCCUUCAGCCUUCCAGAGCCUUCCUAAUCCGAGCUUUCUCUUACGGUUAGGAGUCAUCUCUCACAUGGCUGUCCUCUUCACAGCAAGCGUACCAUUGACACUGAGAUAGUAGGUGACUGAGCUGGCAAGAAUAGUGCCACAUCCCAGCAGAAGAUCUCGAGUUUCAGGAUAGCUGGGACUAUCUGGUGAGACUCCUCUGAGAAAAGAGAUUCUUGGGAAUUAACAGGGGUUCAUGGUCUACUCUACAGAGAAAAUGAAGAUCUGUUCCCAAAUACUGAGCCUCAUUUUGAUUAAUACAUUUGUAUCUUACCCAUGUUGAACUUUUGCUCAAAAAUUGUUUUAGACUUGGUCAUUAAAAAGUACUGAUAGAUCUAUCAUCCUCUGUCAUUAAUACAUUAGUCCAUGUGAAUCCUUGUACACAGAGAUGUUUGUAAGACAAAGUUUCUUGUUAGCAUGAAAUUCUUGCCGUGGCUUUGCCAACUUUGGGCUGUAUGAUCUGAAGAUUAGCUAACCUCUCAAAACCAACUUUUUCCUCACUAAGAUCUAGCACAGCUACCACCCCUAUCUUGCAGAGCACAGUGACGACUGAUAAGCACUGGUGUAGGCACGGCUUGUAGAAAUCAGUACUAUUUAAGUGUUUUAGGAAUUUUAAGCUUAAGUAAGCUUGAGUCCGAUUUAAGUUUUCAUUCACGUCGAGAAAGCAUAAAAUAUUCUUGCAUUCCAUGUUUGCUCUCAAGACAGCCAGGAUUUUGACAGAAUAUUUGAUUUGGGCUUCUGGAGCAGACAUAUAACCUGAUGGCUUAGUGUUCCAUACACAAUGCCAAACAAAAGGCAGCUUAUAACAAAGUUCCUGUAUGGUAUUUAUCUCAGUUACUUAGAAGCUUUGCUUCUGUUUGACAUAGCAUGGAAAGUUUGGCUUUGAUCGUUAAAGUCUUUUGAUUUCAAUAUGAAUUCUGAAGGAGGAUGAAUGGACUGGUUACAAUCCACUCUUUCCACUGUUCUUAGACUAAGCAACCUGGGGAUUCCUGGGGCGUGGGCUUUUCACAUCAGCAGCAGGCUGGCCCUGGACAAUGUCUGGCCAGCCACGGUCAGAGGUGACCAUUCCACAGCCUGCUCCUCAGCGCUGGAGCACUCCUUCCACCAUGCUGCAGCCCUGGAGAUCUGUACUGAGGACAGUUGCAAUUAUCACAAUGAGAAUGGAGAGGAUGUAGAAUACCCACCAAUUGAACCAGGGCAGGCCCUGGAAGGCCACAGCAGAAUCGAUGUAUUGAUGUGUCUUUCAAAUCAAAGGCUAAUUCGAGCUUUGUGGUGAAAGAUCCCACGCAGAGAGACCCUUACUCAAGUCUUGGGAAAUCGCGGACCCCAGACACAGAGAGACCAUUUUGGAUGUAAUAAGCAAAGGCGAGGUUUAUUACGGAGACCUAUUACAGAGAUCUCCGGGCCGACACAUAUCCCACGCAGGAGACAGAGGUGUCGACCCCGAAACUCAAAAGUCAGAGGGUUAUAUAGAGAAGGCUAGGGGGUUUUGGCGUGGUUACAUAUAAUUGGCUCAUUUAAACAUAGCAGUGAGAACAAAGCAGAAAGAGUACGUGUUAGAAGUCAGGGGCUUAUCAGGGGCCGGAGGACACCUAGUUGAAAUAUGGCCCUGAGUGUGCUAGGGGGAGGUGUCUUCCUGCCAGAUGUCCCAUGAAUCAGUCCCAUUAACUCAGGCUGGUUCCUGUAUUCCUUUUUUUUUUAUCUUUAUGGCCUGCUAUUCCUGGCAGCAGGGCUUAGCCCUGAGUUUGUGGCUUUUGGGGCUAACUCUUUUAAUUUUAUAUUUCUAAACCUAGAAUUUGUAUAAUUUUCUUUUCAUUCCCGUCUUCUCCUACUAAAUAAUUCUAAUCUUAGAAUUUUGAUAUCAAGUCUCGUAUUUGGUCUCACCAGUUGUCUUAACUGACUGGUACUGUUGUCUCACAACCAUCAACCGCACAGCACCCACUCGAUUUUUAACAAAAGCAAUUAACCUGUUUGUCACGCAGGGUCCAAAAACUAAAACCAAGAAAAUUAUUAAUAAUGGCCCAGCUGUAGCAGAGAGUAGGGUAGUCAUCUAGGGAGAUCUACUAAACUAGCUCUCGAACCAUCUCUUAUGUGUUUUUCUGUCUGUCUUUUGUCUAACCUUUUUCUAAGUUUAUUUAUGGAGUCUUUAAUUAUUCCUGAAUGGUCUGUAUAGAAGCAACAUUUUUCUUUCAGUAUAGCACACAGACUCCUUCUUUAAGGAAUAUCAGGUCUAAUCUUUUUCUAUUUUGAAGGACUACCUCUGAGAGGGAGGUUAGGUAUUCUUGGAGGUCAGCUAAAAAGUCUUUGGCAUCAGGAUUCUAUCUGGACACUAUCUAAACCUAUAUACCAAGGUCAUGACUGUCUUUUAGAACUUCUAAACUUAUACAGGUUGUGAUCCCUGAGGCACAGUCCCAAGAAGUGUUAGGAGUACUAACAUAUGUAAUGUUACAUCAUUUGUAAUAGAAAUCAAGCCUAUUCCCACCCCUAUCUCGAUGGAACCCAGGACAAACAUGACUGAAUUUCCCUCUAGGUCCCAGCUCUCAGCCCUAACAGCUAGUAAGUACACGGCUGGUGAGGGCUGAGAAUUGACGGCUGUCAGGGUGGUCAGCAGCACCAGGUAUGGUCCUUUCCAGCGAGGCUCGAGUAUCUGGGCUCAGUGUAGCUGUUUCCGACCUGGAACUGAUGGGAUGUCUCAGGGGUCUCCGGGGCAUAGGCUGCUGUCAGCUGUGAGCAGAUUUCUUUCUGUAUCACCUGUAGGUCUUUUAGCCUGGCACACAAAUCAUUAUUACUAUGGCACUAUGACAAGUUGGUUUAGUAACAUCAUCUAAUACAGUCAGGGGAGCUGAGGCCCCAUAUAAGAUCUCAAAGGGGGUAAGGCUGAAUCUGGAAGGGGUAUUUCUUGCUCUGAAGAGAGCAAGAGGGAAGGAGUGUCACCCAGUCUGUGCCAGUCUCCAUGGUCAAUUUGGUCAGGGUCUCUUUUAGAGUUCUAUUUAUUUAUUCUACCUGUCUUGAGCUUUGAGGUCUGUAAAUACAAUGUAAUUUCUAAUCGACCUCUAAAUACUUGGCCACACCCUGGCUUACCUUGGCAACGAAAGUAGGACCGUUGUCUGACCAGAUUACCUUGGGCAUUCCAGACCUGGGGAAGAUUUCUUUCAGUAUCUUCUUGAUGAUUGUAGAGGCCGUCUCUCGUUUGGUGAGGAAAGCUUCUGUCUAUUUCUGAAAAAGUAUCUACAAGCACUAGGAGAUUAUAUUUUUCUGGUUUUAUCUCAGUGAAGUUCACUUUGACUUUUCGUUAAACUCUCUAGGUCUCUUUGUCCUGUUUGUUUGUUAAGCAUUUAUUUACUAACGUAUCUUAUACUUUUUACUGUCUCUCUUGGCUAAAAUCUUAAAGUCUAUUAUAUAUAUUUUAACUAUUUGGACAAACUUCUUAUCUCUUAAAUGAGUCUAUUUCUUAAUUUGGCAAAGUGAGUCUUUUGUUUGUUCUCUGGGGGGGUAUAGCUUUCUCCCCAAGUGUGUCAUUGUCCUUUUAUCUUUUAAACAACUUGGGCCUUUUCUUCUGUUGUACAUUUUAAGUGAGGCCAUCCCUUAGUCUAAUCCCAGUUCUCAGUGGCUGUCUCCUGUAGGCCUGUAACCAGGAUAGGCUCCUGCAUAGCCAUUUCUCAAGCCACUUUAUCUACUUUGUUACUGUCCCAUGUCACUGAAUCUCUUUCCUCCUGAUAUCCUGAGCAAUGAAUAGUACUCACAGUUGUUGGCUUCAUCAGGGCAUCUAAGAGAUGGCAAAGGCAUCUGUGGUGCUGAUGUGUUGGGGGUUGGGGUUCAGCCAUUCUAGAUGACACUGUGUUGUCCACCAUGGCAGCACCCACUUGUCUCUGACCUUCAUUCAUGAAGAGAACUGUUCCCGUCUGUGGACAAGGUCCUCGGCUUUCAGCAGGGGUCAAUCAGCCAGUCACAGAGGUCUUUCCUCCACCCAUGUGCUUCUGUCAGUGUUUGACACUCGUGCUGUGGUGGCUCCAGGUCCGGAUUGGGCAGCAAGGUGACCAGAUUGUCCCCAACCGGUGGAGAAUCUAGUCCAUGGCAGCUGACCAGUGGUCCCAUCUUUGGACACUCUAUCAGCCACUCUAUCACAGUUUAAGUCAUGGAUUGGGUGAUAAUUGUUAGUGCCCGGCUGGCAGGAACGGUGUGUUCCAGGCAGAAAAGCACUAAGCCAUUCAUCUCCCAGCAUCAGUUACUGGUGUACUGAGACAGGUCUUAAGCUCCACAUACACAGUCUAUAGAUAUGUAUACACAUGGCCUCAUCUAGCCAUUUUAGCCCACGCAAGCCAAUUUGGAGAGCAAUUUUCUCAUGAGCAAGGGAUAGGGGCAGUCAGGGAUGACCAUGAAUUAAUGGGUGGGUUACCCGGCCCACGCCAAGGUCCACUGUUCUUCGGGCAGUCCAUAAGUAUUGUUUGUUGUCAGUAGGCCCCUGUACCCAAGGUCUUUGGAUACUGGCCCACUGGAGCAUAGGAGCACAGAGCAUUGGGUCCCUGUAUCCACAAAACAACUGGGCGGGCUUCCCUUCCAUCUCUGUGUAUAGCCAGCACCAAGAGGCUCUCCAGUGUCCCCUCUUGUUCUUUCUGGGGCAGUCCCUGACCCAAUGUCCUUUUUCUUCGUAUUAGGCACACUGAUCUUUAGCCAGGAAUUCUCUUCUGUUGUCAGGUACUAUCUUCCUAGGUUCUCCAACUACUGUGGCCAGUAUAUGUUCCUCUCUUGUCUUUUAUCUCUCUUUAGCUCUCUAACUUUUUUUUUGUCUCUUUUCUUCCCUAGCUUUCUGUUCUUUUUACCUCUUUCUUUUUUAACUUUAUUUUCUCUGUAACUUAUACUAACUCUCAGCAACUUAACUUAACCCUUCAAAUUUUUGUAACUUUUUUUUUUCAUAUCCUUUUUUUAUCUUAGCCAGAUUGGUGGGGCAUUUUCUAGCCCCUCAGAGACCCACCCUUGGAGCCUGGCAGCAGACCUGGCACUCCCUACCUUUAGGCGUCUGAAGAGAGCAGGCAGAAGUGAGGGCCUUCUAUCCAUCUCUGGAACACUUUUUCUGGCCUCUAGUAGGAUUCCGUCUUUCCUCGGUGGUAAAGAAGACCUGUAACAGUUACUAACAAGCAUCUUAAAUGGGAUGGUGGAAAACAAGAGAAUCUUGAGAAUAGAGGUCCACUGAAGAGGGCAAACAGCAUUUAGUCACACAGCUAAGCCAGGAGGCUUUCUUGGGACAAAAAGACCUUGUGUCUGUGAAACAGAAAAGUGAGCAGAGGGGCAGCCUAUCUGCUACCGGCUGUCUCUCUGGACUUAGAUUUUCCCUUAAGGAGUACCUCCCUUUAGUGCCAGCUCAGUGGCUUUAUCGCUCAAGAGACCCAUCCUCUAAAUGGCACUAGGCUUCCAGUAAGAACUAAUAACAAAAGGAUGGAGAGACGUUAGAACCUGGGUGUUAGAUACUAAGCAGCUGACAAAAGAAUUGUAACCAGUUUACCUGGGGCUUCUUGUCUCUUAUAUCUAAUAAGGAGAUUGUUAAUACUAUAGUACCAACCUUUAAUAAUAAAAAAACUAUAGCUCUCUCCAUGUCUCUGAAUAUCAGGACUGCAGUAGUAGUCCUUCACCAAACUGUCUCAGUGGGCUAAAGGCCCAUGGAAAAGAAAACAUUAAUCCUGACCUUGGCCACAGCCAAAGCCUGAAUUUUAAAUUCUGACUGGCAAAACAAAACAAAGUUCUUCAUGGUUUGUUGUAGAUUCUUUGAAACUAUUUUAGGGGCUUCUCUGUCCCCCAACCUGGGACAUUUCCACCACAGGGGCAGGAACUGGCUGCUGUGGGGAUAGGAUCAAAGGCAUUCUCCAUGCUAAUGAUGACCAGUGAGAAAAGUAAUUUAAUGCUGGAGACUGACUCCUCUCUUGGAAUAGGGCCAGCAGAUAAGGCAGGCUCCUUUUUUUUUUUUUUUUUUUUUUUUUGCUUUUAUGGUUUUUAUUUUACCUACAGUAUUUAUUUAGCAAGCAGGACUUCAAGGCAGGCUCCUUAAAGAACUUCUCCUAAUGAGCACUCUCUUUCUGUGAGCAAGAGUUGAAGGUCUGGUCACUAAAAGCAGAAAUUCCUUUCUUGUUCUUGUUUUCUUUAGAGUCCUCUCCCACCUCACUCUCAGCCUUUUUAGAUCAUUCUUUCUGUAGCAUUUCUAACACAGCCUGUCCCUUUUUUAUAGCCUGUUGACAGGAUUUCUGAUCUUUUAGGCAGCUACGCAUUAAGUGCCACACCAGCUGAAACUCCGCCUUUAAGAUUCUUUGCUCUCAAGCAAAAUUUAAAUCCUUUUUUAGCUUAUCUCAGCUGUCCACCGUGAGAUUCCCAGAGAUCGCGAACCAAGGUGUAAUAAUUCACUAAGAAAUCUCUCUAUAGUGUUUCUUUUUACCUUAAGCCUUUUCUUUUUAAACAGCUCCUGAAGAGCCAGAAAAAUUGGGUGAGACUUGAGAAGUCCCCAUGCUCGCUGCAGCAGCUCCGCAGCUAAUUUUGCUCCCCCCUACUGUGUGCUGCAAGCACAAGCACAGAUAAAACACUAUGUUUUAAAAAUUAACGUUGGCUAUCAACCAACACACCGCCACUAGAGCGGGGUCCAUAAAAUUAAGUUUCUUACUCACUAUACUUGUUUCAUACCGGAGGCCUAAUCAGGGGAACUUUUUUAUUUACGAGAGGUUUUGUCCUCAAGGUUUUUGUUAAUGUCUGUUUACACAACUGUUAACAGCAGCUAGGCUGAUCAAGGGGAGUAAAGGGAGGGGCAUCUCUCUUUGGGGAGGAGGCUCAAGAGAGAAAGACAAAAUUCCCUGGCAGAAAACAAUUUUUCUCAAGCAAAUUAUUUUUAACUCUUAACUUAAGCACCAAGAGGACCAAGUAAAACUCUUUGACGAACAAAGCAAACAGUUUCAUGAUUUCAAACACAGUCAUCAGUCCAAGAUUUCAAACACAGUCGUCAGUCCAAAUUCAAACACAGUCGUCAGUCUAAAAUUCAAAAACGAAACAAAAGCCAAAAAGACACUCAACAAUACCACAGAAAACAAACCAGACAAACAAGACCAAGACAAAGCAUCUUAUAACCAAUUUUCACAGAUGCCUGGUACCUUCAGUACCUGGCCCAAACUGCAGCUUAACCUUAUCUGCUUCUGGGAUACCAAACACAGAAACAGAAUACAGACAACAGACACUAACACGUAUUCCACUUCCACUCUCUAAGCACUGACCAGAGUGAGACUCCACGUCCACUCUCUAAGCACUGACCAGAGUGAGACUCCACGUCCACUCUCUAAGUACUGACCAGAGUGAGAUUCCACGUCCACUCUCUAAGCACUGACCAGAGUGAGAUUCCACGUCCACUCUCUAAGCACUGACCAGAGUGAGACUCCACGUCCACUCUCUAAGCACUGACCAGAGUGAGACUCCACGUCCACUCUCUAAGCACUGACCAGAGUGAGACUCCACGUCCACUCUCUAAGCACUGACCAGAGUGAGACUCCACUUCCACUCUCUAAGUACUGACCAGAGUGAGACUCCAUGUCCACUCUCUAAGCACUGACCAGAGUGAGAUUCCACGUCCACUCUCUAAGUACUGACCAGAGUGAGACUCCAUGUCCACUCUCUAAGCACUGACCAGAGUGAGAUUCCACUUCCACUCUCUAAGUACUGACCAGAGUGAGACUCCAUGUCCACUCUCUAAGCACUGACCAGAGUGAGAUUCCACUUCCACUCUCUAAGUACUGACCAGAGUGAGACUCCACGUCCACUCUCUAAGCACUGACCAGAGUGAGAUUCCACUUCCACUCUCUAAGUACUGACCAGAGUGAGACUCCACGUCCACUCUCUAAGUACUGACCAGAGUGAGACUUCACCGGUACCGAGACACACAUAUAUACACACACGGCGGAACCAAAACAGAGACAGACACAGACUGACAAUUGCGGCGCCGCUCUCACAGAAACACUCAGACAAACAUCCAACUCACCUCCAAGGGGUCUUCGGAGUCUGGGGUGGUCGCGAAGAUCCCGGACGAGCCCCCAUUAUUAUGAAAGAUCCCACGCAGAGAGACCCUUACUCAAGUCUUGGGAAAUCGCGGACCCCAGACACAGAGAGACCAUUUUGGAUGUAAUAAGCAAAGGCGAGGUUUAUUACGGAGACCUAUUACAGAGAUCUCCGGGCCGACACAUAUCCCACGCAGGAGACAGAGGUGUCAACCCCGAAACUCAAAAGUCAGAGGGUUAUAUAGAGAAGGCUAGGGGGUUUUGGCGUGGUUACAUAUAAUUGGCUCAUUUAAACAUAGCAGUGAGAACAAAGCAGAAAGAGUACGUGUUAGAAGUCAGGGGCUUAUCAGGGGCCGGAGGACACCUAGUUGAAAUAUGGCCCUGAGUGUGCUAGGGGGAGGUGUCUUCCUGCCAGAUGUCCCAUGAAUCAGUCCCAUUAACUCAGGCUGGUUCCUGUAUUCCUUUUUUUUUUAUCUUUAUGGCCUGCUAUUCCUGGCAGCAGGGCUUAGCCCUGAGUUUGUGGCUUUUGGGGCUAACUCUUUUAAUUUUAUAUUUCUAAACCUAGAAUUUGUAUAAUUUUCUUUUCAGUGGAUGUUGGCACCACGUCUCCAGAGUCUGAUCACGCUUCUCCUUUGCCACACCCAGCACCUGGUAACUGGCCAUCCUACCGGGAAACAGAAUCGGCUUCUUUGGUCUGUCAAAUCAAACAGGGGCCACCUGUGGGAGAGGUAGAGGUCCUGGAUUUCAAGGACCCAGCAUUGCUUUUGGAUCCAAUGGGCACCAGAACCUCAGCUCCUCCACAGGCAGAUGCAGCUUUCCUAACUCCAGGCAGGAAAGACCUUGGGAUCAGAAACACCCAGUCCUAUCCAGAGUCACGGCCAGUGCUUUCACAGCCAGAUGUUCCCGUCGCUCCUUUGGAAGGAGAAAUCCUUCCUAAUUACCCCGAGUCUGGUACAUGCCACCCCUGAGUGGAGGGAGGUAUGUGGUAGGACUGGAUGACCACGUGAGUUCUAAAGCUCAAGGCAAGUGCAUUGAAAAACUGGGCAUUUGAGGUUUUGUUUAAAGAAAAUAUAGCAGAGUUGACAAACUAGACAUGGUCAUUCACCUGGGCCCAUCCCUGUACCGGGCAGGCUGGGACAGGCUGGGGCAGGCUGAGACAGAAAGAUUUUCUAGGUUCAAGAGUAGCCUGGGCCAUAUAGAGAAUUGUAGGCCAGCCUGGAUUAUACAGCCAGCUCUCCUCCCAAGUGUAAUGAAAAAUUUCGGUUUGCAAGUUCAGAGAAGGUGAGCUAUGUCGAGGCUUCAUAGGCAUUGCAGGAUGGAGGGUACAGCCAUUUAGCUUUGACUGUGAUAGUUAGCUGUGCAGGCUUAGGCAAACAUGCUGAAGAGCCUUAGGGAGAGAACAUGGUAUAGACACCUGUGUCUGCUAUUAAUUCUGGUUCUUGUCCCCACAGCUGUGGCCUUCCCCUCCCCUGAACCACCUUAACCUGGUUCUGUGACUCACUAGCACUAAAGGUAGCAGGAAGAAGGCAGGGGAAUGCCCAGAGGGAACAACCUUUCAUCCACCCUGAUGGACUGGGAAACUGGUCCUAGAUUCAUCCUCCCCCACACCUAUCUCCCGCUCUCCCUGCUCAAUGAUCUCUGCCAGGAGGAUGUGUCAGAGGUCAUACCUCUCUCCACAGCAUUUCAACUUCACAGUUUUUCUGUCCGUGUAUUGACAAAAACAUUAACCUAGCAGAGAGGACCUUCUGGUUCUGCUGGGACAUUUUCUGCAGGUUCAGGGGUUGUUUAGAGAAAUAGUUCAGGAGGGAAGAAAACACUUUGUGUUUAACAGAGUAUAGAGUAAUAGUUAGGGGAGGACCGUUGUUGUCAAGUUUGAAUCUUGGCCAUGCUAAGGCAAGUUAUUUCACCCUCAGGUCUCUGAUUUUCAUUUAUAAACGUAUUGCCAGGAUUUGUUGUUAGUAUGUUAUGUUUUGAGUGCCUGCAUUAGUUUAAGACCAUCAUUACUAAUCUUUAGAGGAUUUAAAACAUAGCAAACUGGAGGAUGGGGGUGGGGAGUGAACAGCUGGGCUGGAAAACAGAGAAACUGAAAACAGAAAGUCUCAUUAAAAAGCUUUGGCCUCCUGGCUCCUUUUCUGCUUGAUGGAGUUUGAUGAGCAUUUGUUUUUGUUAAAGCCAAAGGCAUGGAUUUCUUUUAAAAGUUCUAGAACUUUCAAAUUCUUCUAACAAUCUCCUAAAAUAUUCAGUGUGAGUUUUUUCUAUCUAAAGAGAUUUAAAGGCACGAAUCAAAAAUUUCCUCAAAGGGAUUUAGUGUUACAGAUGGGUUUUUGAGUGGCCUUUUGUUGGGGGUUGUAUUUUCCUGGCCCAGGAAGAGCACACAGUUAUUGGAAAGUGGUUGUAUGUACAGUUGUCUGAAACCUGAGGAGCGGGCUAUGGCCCAGCACAAAACUGUAAACUGAUGUAAAACCUUCAGAGAGUUUUCUUUUGCAAUCGGUCAUGGUUCUUGAAGCGUGAACUUUGUAGAUGAUAAUGUGUCAGGUUGUGCGUGGCUGUUUAAGAGCUCAGAAAGGCCUGAAAUGGAACCAGUCACUGGGAACUGAGGGUAACAGCAUAACCCAGGAGGGACAUGAUCUGUGGUAUUUAAUCAGCUGCCAAAUGUAGUCAAUGCUGACAUCUAAAUGCUAGAAUGGUUAUGAAAAAGACUUUCAGGGGGAGAUUGUCCAACUGGAAGCUACUAAGUCUUAGAGGAGAAAAAUACUUUUAAAUUUUAUUUAAAAAAAUAUUUAUGUGUGUUCAUGUGUACAAGUUCAUGUGUGGGAAAGCCUAGCCCUUAAGAAAGAAUGUUUGGUGAGCUGUGUGAACCAUAGAAACAUGUAAUUGUUAUUAUUUAUGUUCAGAGGAAACACUGUUCUCCCGGAGGUUUAUCCAGCAGCUGUGGGCUUACUCUGGGCAGCUGUUGACAUGGGGCUGAGACCUUCUAGUACCAGCUCAAGGUAGGAAAUUCGAGGCUUCUGGUAGUGGAUGGACUUGAGUUACCCCGCAGCUCUGUUGUGUAGUUUGAAGACAGAUGCUGUUUGAACCUUAUUUUCUGAGUAGAGAGCACCCUUCUCAAUAAAUUUUAACUUCCCCUUUAAGCAUAUAGGAUUUGGUUUGCUGAGUCAGGGAAUUAGGAUUUUGUUAAAGGCUCAGAAAAUUUCUCUUCUUUUUAGUAUUGUUUUCAUUAGGGUGUGUGUGUGUGCGUGCGUGUGUGUGUGUGUGUGUGUGUGUGUGUCUGUGUGUCUGUGUUUGUGUGUGUGUCUGUGCACGCCUGCCUGCCUGCCUGCCUGUGCAUAUGUAUAUGUGUUGUAUAGGCCCCAUAGGCAUAGGAAUAGGAGAGGUGCUCUGAAGUGGCCCCAGGGCAGCUUAUGCUGCAUGAUGGUAUAGACAGGUUCCAUGUUGCCACCCUGAGCAGUGUUUCUGUGUCCUGAGAGCGGGCUGCAGCCCUGUUCAUAUUGGGAGCUUUCAAUUCCAGGCUGCAGUAGGUUUUUGGUUGUCACAGCAGAGAGUAUCUGCAUUCUCACCGCCAGGGAGGUGGACUCCACUUGCACACACACACACAGAGAGAGAGAGAGAGAGAGAGAGAGAGAGAUUGAUUCAGGGGGAAAGGCUGCAGCGCAUUUGUUAGUCUCAGUAGACUGAGCAGCUGUGAACUUUCCCUUCACUAAGGCCAUCCCUAACUCAAGCAUCAGGAACUGUUCCCUACAGCUUUUACUCUGGACUGAGCUCACCCUCCCUGUUGCCUGCCCUGAUCCUCAGCUUCCACCUGGUUCCCAGCAGCUACACAAACAGACCAGUUCUUUUAGUCUGAGGCAGGGAUUCUGUUGCAGCUUUCAACCUGGAGUAGCAAGCGCUGCUGAGGUGCUGGGGUCCUCGCAGCUGGGAGAACUGAAGUAGAGGAGGAAGGUGUGGCCAGGUCGAAAGCUCUGGGCCAGGGUGUGGUGGUCUCACAGGUGGCCAUUUCUGAGCACAGUCUCCACUGCUGUUUCUCACCCCCUGGCUUCUGAUACUCGAAGGCCUCUUCUGACAUUCCCAUUGUGACGCAGGAAGGGGAGGGUUCUGUGGGCAGCAAGUAGACACACCACCCAAUCCGGAUCAGGCGACCCAAGGGUGUCUGUUAGCCCCGCCUCCGCCCCUCCCCCAUGUCCCACCUCCAGACUGCUGCCAAGCUGCUCAAGUGGUUCUAGCUGUUGGUGGGGUCCUGCAGAUGUGAUAGGCUCCUCCUCUCCAGCCCCUCCUCCCCACCCACCUCUCAGGCCCUCCUGGGAUAGCUGUCCUCCUCUGGGGCCCUGUACUUGCUCCCAGCCAUGGUGGCUAGGCUCACUGCUCUCCUCCUUUACCUCGUUUUCUCCUUGGCCAUCCUGGUCCAGACAGGAUAUGGAGACUUCGAUGGUUUUAAUCUGGAGGAUGCGCUGAAAGAAACUUCCUCAGUAAAGCGUGACUCAAACAAACAAGUCCACCAAGCAAACACAAGUGGUCGGCCAUGCACCACACUGACAAUCUUGCCUUCAGAAAAGUACACGCAUAUGAGACUAGCUGUGCCUCCAUCUACCUGUUUGUUCUGUUGUGCAAGGCUUGUGUCUUCUCGUCAUACGUGUGUCAUCUUCCUUUUACAUUUAGAAAAUUUCACAAUUUUCAUUAUGUUGAAACCACAAGAGAACAUGCAUCUGCCUUCGCCUUUUUUCUGCUGUACAAAAAGAGAACUCCGACCCGUUUCAUUCCUCUCACUGUUUUGUUUUGAGACAGGGUCUCUUGAUUUAGCCCGAGUUGUCCUGAAAUUCUCUGUGCCGAGAAGCCCGGCUUUGACUUGGGUCCAGUGCUAGAGCAACAGUGACUCUUGGCCACUGAUGUGCAUUUCUAGCUUCAGAACCCAUGACUUUUUAUGAUUCUUCAGUGUGAUCCCCACAAUGGCCUCGGGGACCUAUACUGAGACCAUUCUCACGAUGUGACUUCUGUAAACCAUAAAGCAGCCACUGUGUUUUACAAUCUGCUUCCUUUCGUCCUCCCUUCUCCCUUCAGAGAGCCACUUUAGCACCACGACUAGAAGGACAGGAACAACCAGAGCCUCAUCAAAUCCAGCAGGUAAUGAGGUGUGGGAAGUGAGGAAGGCCAGACUCACCUGAGAAGGGACACAAGGAGGGACUCAUUAGGACUCCAUCUGGGACAGGGUCAAAAGGAGCCAUGUAGAAUUUUUAGCUGCACAUAUGAAAAGUUAGCAAAGGCACCCAUGUGAAUGUUAGAUUUAAUUCAACAGAAUCCCAUCUGGUUGGUCACUGUGCCUUACGUGAAAGCCAUGCGUUUCCACUUCCCUAUUGCUUUGGGUGACGAUGGCUGCCAGAAUCCAGGUACAGGAGGCGGAAGGGGUGAGCUGAAAUUGACUUAAGCCCCAGCCUAUCCCCAUAGCUCCCAGGUUAAACAUGAGCCAUUCAUAGUCGAGCAGAGUUGGGCAACCUGAGGCCUAAGGAGAAGUCUUCAACGAAGAUAUUCAGACGUUUUCAUGAUAUUCUCUAAGUUUUUGAAGAUCUCGGGAGAGUUUGUGUAUGUGGGUCACAUCUAUAAAUACUUCUCAUCUGAGAACUUAGAACUAAAAACUGAUAUUAAUCCGAGGAAAAUAAAAAGCCAUAUGCAUUGA